rnacentral:lncRNA from 1 species
CUCCCGGCCAUCUGGCACCUUUUCUGUGAGGGUCCCAACCAGGGGUUACAGAUGUGAGCUGGACAGUGUGGGAAUGCAGCUUCGAAGCAGCAAUUAGUUUAUUCCUGAGGUCAGCAGUAUAAAUAGUAGAAAAAUGUAUUUCCUGUUCCAAGCCAAAUAAGCAAGUGGCAGCCAGUUGGCCAGGGGCCAUUGAUGGGAUUUCAGCCAUGCGUGUGCCUUGCCCUUGGCCACGAGCUUGGGCGGGGAGCAGGAGGGGGAAACGCCGCUACACAGGCCUCAGCCUGUCAUUGACUGGGGACCCACUGGGAAGGUCCAGUAGCCUGCUGUGCACCCAGGUGCGUCUCUCUUGUGAUCAUGACCAGCCAGGGUGGAUGGGCACAUAGAGAGAGGUAGCCCCAGAGCUGGCCUAUGCCACCGGCAAUCACGCUGGUGCCUGGCACACUUUCUGGAGUGUGGCUGACGAUCAAGAGAUGCUUCUGCGUGAGCGAAGGAGGGGGAUGGUGCCCCAGCUUUUUGAGUAGAAGGGAACUGGAUGUGGGUCAGCGAUCUCAUCAGUGGACAAGGGGACAGAGCCAUAGUCUCCUUCCUGGGCUCUGUUGAAGACAGAAGCCAGAGCUUUGGGCUGUUCCACAUGGUACUGAAAUGGCUGGAUGGCUGGGUCCACCACACAAGGCGUUCACUGUUCCCCAGGACAGUCGUGACCUCCCACCAGGUCACAACAGAGAAUGUCGGUGGCACAGGCGACCUGCCAAAGGUCACAGCUGUCACCCCAGAGAGGAGCGCUGGUCUGGAGUGGGACAGAGCUGGGAUCUGGCCUCAGCCCUACUUCUUCCUUGAGGUGUGGCCUGCGGCGGCUGGGCCUGACCUCUGUGUUAUGGAGCGGGAGAGCCGCAGAGGUGGCCUGAGUGUUCCUCUGCGGCAGCCCUGCCCUCACCUCACGGCUGGACUCCGCCAGGGUGGGGACGGCUCCGAGGGGUGGCACCUGCCUGUCUGCAGCAGCCCUGGAGGUCCACCGCUCGGACGGUGCCCCCUGGAGGCGCCGACAGAGGCAGCUCGGAAGCCCACCUGCCAGUGCGCUUGGCAGCCUCCCGGGGCUGCGGUGUGGCGGCGGCGGCGGACUCCCUAUCCAGGGAUGACAACGGGGACAACCUUAGAGCAUCGCUCAGCACUCAUGAGUAAAAGCCUCGCCUGGCUGGUGUCCAGCGCUGGGAAUCGCGCCAGGAUGGACGUUUCCACCUGGGAGGCUUCCUGCAGCUAG